rnacentral:tRNA from 2 species
GUGAGCUGCUUGGCGAGCUUGCGCGCCUGAUGCUUGGUGCGCAUGAACAACACUCGGCGACCGGUGCCGGAGGCCAGUCGGUGCACG